rnacentral:rRNA from 1 species
AGAGUGAACGCUGGCGGUAGGCCUAACACAUGCAAGUCGAACGGCAGCGCGGUAAGAGCUUGCUCUUAUGGGUGGCGAGUGGCGGACGGGUGAGGAAUACAUCGGAAUCUACCUUUUGGUGGGGGAUAACGUAGGGAAACUUACGCUAAUACCGCAUACGCCCUUCGGGGGAAAGCCGGGGACCAGCAAUGGCCUGGUGCUGAUAGAUGAGCCGAUGUCGGAUUAGCUAGUUGGUGAGGUAAUGGCUCACCAAGGCGACGAUCCGUAGCUGGUCUGAGAGGAUGAUCAGCCACACUGGAACUGANACACGGUCCAGACUCCUAACGGGAGCAGCAGUAGGGGAAUAGUUGG